GGAAGUUUAACUUCUACGGUAAUCCACCAGAGUCCUAGAGUAAACUCUCAGAGAGGGGUGGCAGUCCGAUUUUGUCAGCUUACUCGACUUGGAGAGGGAAGAUAAUGUACAUUUGGACAGUUACAUUUGACCAGAAUGUAUGCGAUGGACUGCAUCAUGGUUUUGAAGGAAAAGGUUAUACUAUUUAUUACAGACAGCAAGAAAACAUCAUUGAACACCACCAACUAAUAAGACUCCAAAGGAAUAAUGGAAAAUAAGAUAUUUAAAGCUGUCAAAAAGCAGAGAUUAGAGUUCAGUGGAUUCCAUGAUGGUACUUUGGAUAAUGUUAAUCAGGCAGCAAUUCUCUUCCCAAGGAUCUUGAGUGCUUUUCGAAGAGGCUAAUAAACAAAGGACAGUCACUUACUACAGAAGAGAAGCAGGGGAGAUUAGUGAUAUUCUGAGUGGCAUGACUGCACCUUACAAAGAUGUAAAACUUUAAAAAUUGUGUUUACAUAUACAAU